UGCUUAUUCAGAGUGAUGGAGAUACAUAGGAUCUGUGAAGUCACGGCAACCCCCUUGGCGGAAGGUGCCAACCUGAGCGAAAGUAUUCGAGCAAUAAGUG
rnacentral:ncRNA from 19 species